rnacentral:lncRNA from 1 species
GUAUGGGGAAAGUUUAAGGCGGAAGGGCCCUCGUUUGUCGGCUGCUUGGGAAGUCUGAGGAUUACUGGGACUAACAGGACUUCAGCUGGGGCUUCAUCGUGUGGUGUGGGCUUCCUGACAGCACGGCCACUGGUUUCCAAGAGUUUCAACAAUAUUUUCAUCAUAUUUAUUGAAGCCCUCACUGACAGACUUCUCAAGGCCCCUCUACCUUCUAUUUGCUGCCUGGCCCCAAAGCCAGUGCCGCACAUUUUAGGUUUUUAACUGCAGCAGCACCUAUGAUGUUUCCAAAAUCUGUAUCAUUAAAGUUUGAUCAGAGAAGCAAAACCACCUUGAGCAAAACAAGGAAUUUAUUAAAGAGAUUAGGAUACACAUUGUUAUGAAAGCUGCAACCUGCUGCCCCUGUGUCCAGAAGUGGGCCUGAAGUCAGCAGGGCUGGCAAAUGGAUGUGCAGUGGGAGAGGGUAGGCGUGUGCACCCAUCCUGCAGGGAGGAGAUGGAACUCCUGUGGAUGGACUGAAACUGAUGUCUUCCACGUCAGCCUCUCAGGCCUCCAACACUCCAGCUCUGAUGAUGAAGAUGACCUGCAGAGGAGCUGGUGCCCUUCACCAUGGAAUUGCUCAUAAACCCAAGAUUCAGUGAAGCUGAAGAAACAGUUCCGGUGGGAGCUGGAGGAACUGCAGGCACAGCUGCUGCCCUGUACCAAUACAUUGAGCCAGUGGCUGCCUGGCAUUGUGUGUGAGCCACCACAGCGCCUGGCCCUACACAGACUUUGACUGUAAAUAUGACUGCUGUUUCACUUCUGCCUUCCAAAUUUUGCUCAGAUUUUCUGAGAAACAUAGUUCAGCUUAGGUACAUUGACACAGUACAAAGCCACCGCAGUGGCUGGUUAGGGAGGGAUUAUGAAUGCAGGCUGAGAAUGCACGGGAAGCGUUUGUCUAUUUAUAGAGUAGGUACCAUUCAAGGAUUUAUGUGAAUCAGGUGCAAAGAACUCACACAAAGGUGGGGAAAGUUAGUACUUAGAAAUCAGUGAUACUAGAUAACCAAUAAAUAAAAAUAAACUUA